AAAAAGAGAGGCUGAGAGGCUGAGGAAAGACUGAAAGAGAGCUCUUAGUCCAGCUGGAGUCAAUGAAGAGAGAGAGUCAUUGCCAGAGAGUGAUAAAGGGUGCAGCCACCUUCACCCACAGCUAACUCAAACUGUGUUGAAAUGGGGAUUGAUGCCGUGAUGGAAACAAUCAAGUGGAGCGGCUCACACUGCAGCCGAUUUCAAAGGCAUUCCUUUUCCAGGCCAUCAGCCGCUGCAGCCACACGGGAAGCGUUUCCUGAUUUUACCACUACUGAGCAGCAGCCUGAUGGUGUUUAUGUAUUCAGGACCCCACCGGUGAGGAGACCUGCUGCCCCAGCACACCAGAAGCGCCAUCAGGAGGAAUUGGUACAAUUGACAAUGGAGCUGUUCACAGCACUGGGGCUGUGAGUCCAUCAAGCAUCCUCUCUAUUAUGUUUAUUGCUCAUUACUCAGUUUUAAAGAGGCCCUUUUUUAUCCCGGAGAAUUUAACUGAAAUAUUGGCUUUUCUGAUAUUUUUCUUGCUCAGCAAAAAUAACAUCAGGUUUGAAUGACAUCAGCGGGUCCAAGAGUUCGCUGGUGAUGUUGAUGUUAGAACGGUGCUACUUAUAACAGCUUAUAAACUGCUACACCACAGGCUGACAAACAUUUGCCCCUUCUUACACUAACAGAAGCUGCCAUGUCAUUCUGUGUCCCAUUUUUAGCUCUGUUCAGAGCCCCUCAUCUUAUACUUUGAUUGCAUAUUAUCUGAGUCUGAAAACAUAUACUUUUUGUUUGUGGUUUCCAGCUGAGAUAAUAGCACUGCAAGUAAGUUUACCUCAAAACUUCAGCCUGACAUCGUAGCUCUAGCGCUAAGCCAGAGAUGUUCCAAACUUUUCCACGGCAAAUGGAUGUCAAACACAAAUGGGAUUUAGUUGAUCCUGUGAGAAAGUGAGAAUGGGAAUCAGAAAAACUAUAUCAAAAGGUUUAUAUAUGUAUAUGUAUGCAUAUAUAUAUGUUAAAACAUGAAAAACAACUUGUCUUAUAGUCUAGGUUAGUAUGAGAAGACCCAUCUAUACAGACUGGAUCAGGAAGUUUUCUUUACAGGUAAAAUAUAUUGUGAACUUUCAGGCUGGUUUUGCAGUGAGAUGUAGGAUUUUGGAGCCAGCCUUGACAAAAGAGCAUCAUAAAUAGUUAGCAGUAUUGUUUACAAACUUCUUUCUUAAUUGUUCCACAAAAGCUCUACUAGAUGGGAAGAGCAGUGGUCUCAACAUCAGUAGUGAAAAGACAGACAUUUUCACAGAUAUUUUCAAAAUCCAUUCAUAACUAAAACCUGCUGGGUUUUGUUCAUGCUGGGGCAUGUUCAACUGAUAAGGACAAAAUAUUUUUUAUAGUAAGUCAGGAGGAUAUUAAAAAACGUCUAUCAAAAGCAGACAUUUUAAAAGUUGGUGUGUCCAAAUAGCUCACAUUCAAAGUUUUUAAAGACAACUUGUGAAAUAAUUCUCUGGGCCAUUAGUGUUGAUUUCCAACCCAGUGCGGAACACUAGAAAAAUUGUAGGGAGCUGAAAGACAGCUAAUUUUGUGCUAAUAUUUUAAAAGGGCAAAAACAACAACCUAGGUAAUUAUAACCCUGUCACACUGAUAUUGAUCCUAACCAAAAUAUCUGGCUGAUACAGGACUUGAUUAAUAAAUUAAAAGAGGUUAAUAUAAUUAAUGCCAAUCAGCAUGGGUUUGCGUCAAGCUAAAGUGGUAUCUUUUAUGAUGAAAUUAUAAGUUUAGUUAAAAAGAGAACAAUAGAGAAUUCAUAUAUUUAGACCUCUUAAUGACAUUAAUUUGAUGAUCCCUGAUUUAUUUAUUCAUUAGCUAAGAAAUGACGGUGAUGUAAAUACAGCAUAGGACAUAUCAAUAAAACUAUCCGACUGAAAGGUCUACAGACUUACUUGUAAAUAGACAUACAUCCUCGAGAAUGUGGGGUGGGUUUUUAUUUGUUUGUUGGCUUUAUUUUUCUUUGUUUUUGCAUCCUCCGUGUAAUUUGCACAUACACACUGGCAUAUGUGAGUCCAUCAGAGUAAGUAACUAAUGAGGAAAACAAAAUGGUACAAGACACCUCAUAAUGUAACUAUAAACUUUGAUCUUAAAUACAUAAAUAUUGGUUGUAGCAUCUUCUAGAAUAAUUACCAUUUCCAGCAUACAAUCUCAAAUAUUCUCAGUAGUUAAAAAAAUAAAAGUCAAAAAAAGGAGAGAAAUAUCCAUGAAUCAUCAGCUAAGUUCCAGUUUCCAGUAUGAUUCUCUCCUAUAAAUGGCAGAUAGUCACUGGACACCAAAAUAAUACGUUCAUUUAAAGUAGGGAGGCUAUAUUAACUCUGUGCUUGAAAAUGGUGCUGGUGUAGGUGGAAUGCUGCUUUCCUUACUAAG
ensembl:lncRNA